AUGAUGUAUCUGUGCUCUCUGACUGUCUUUAUGAUUAUGAUAGAGAGCUGUGUUUCACAGUCAAUAGGACCACUGGACAACAAAGUGCUGAUUCAUGCUCUUGAAGAUGAGACAGUUACUCUCUCCUGCAAGUAUGAAUAUAGUGCUACUCCUAAUAGUCUGCAGUGGUAUCGUCAGUAUACUGGAUCCAGACCAGAGUACUUACUGCUGAAAUAUGCAGGAUCAGCUGAUGUGACCCGUGCAGAUCCUACUUUCUUACGCCUGGAUGCUACAGACAAUAACAACAAAUGGAAUCUCUCAAUCUCCUCUGCUGCAGUAUCAGACUCUGCACUCUACUACUGUGCCAUGCAGCCCACAGUGACAGGAAACCCAGCUACACUGUACAAAAACUCAUUGCAGGAUGCCUUGUGUGUUGGGAAUGUACCAGAAGAGGGCAGCUUUAGUCUAGAUUUGCUGGAGUGAAGUGAGUUAUUCAUUAAAAGAUGCUGAAAUGAGGGACCAAGUAAAACAGCCAUGAGAGGAAAUCUCAUGUUCAGUUCAGUUGUGGGUCUUCUUAGAUCAUCUGUAGCUUCUGGAUUUGAAUUUGUGGCUCUCCUUUAAAAUGAGUGGCACUUUAUAUUUCAUAUGAA